rnacentral:lncRNA from 1 species
UUAGGCUUCAAAAGAAUAUGUUCCUGCCACACUGAAGCUAAGUGGGCUGUUCAAAACAUCAGUGGCUUUAUGGAUAUAGGCUACGUUUCCUCUGCUGUGCCUCAAACAACAUGGACACUGGGUCAGUGUGAUGAGUGAAGAGUAGCCCAGCUACUCCAACAAACAAGAAGAGCAGUUCAGCUACUCCAACAAACAAGAAAAAAAGCUAAGAAAUUAGCACACAGUGGCAAGCUGAAAAUAUGUCAGGUACACUGAGGGGCUAGGUCACCCUGAAUAUCAAAAAUUCAAGGCUCUGCAUUAGGCUUCUGGAAACACCAUUCUAGAAGGCUAGAGAAUCUCUUCAAAAGCUCUCCCAGGGGAUGUCAAUAAAUUUCUGGGAAUGUUGAAUCGAAUGCUAUGACAAUGAAUUAUGACGUUACUGCUAGAUCUGGGACUGAUCCUGCAGAGACAGCUCCCUAUGUACCAUGAAGCCUUGGACUCUGAAAUAGAAUGAAGGGCUCAAAGCCAGUGGACACUCUGAGCAAUGGACAGUGGUAGGAUUGGAGUCAUUCAAUUUAGGUCAGCUGACUUUAUCAAGACUUUAAGUUGGCCACCAGUCUACUAAUGUUAUUUUUUUUUAAUUCCA